CAUAGCUGCCUUGCAAACUAAGAAAGAGCCCUUAGCACUGUGUUAUAUGUUGGGGAGACAAUGGUGAGCGCAAGAAAUAUGACCUCCACCCGAUCUCAUGUAAUUUUAAGCAGGUAGAGUCACAUGAAGUGAUCUGGCCAUGCAAUGUGGGCAGACGUGAUGAACCCCACUUCCGGUCCUGGCCAACACAGAAAGUCCUGCAGGAUCCUGCAUUUUCUCAACCCUCUCAUCUACGUGUUGAAUGCCACCAAGGAUACAAGAUGCUGGAGCCACAUGACUGAAGCUGCCUGGUUUCCCGAGUUACUACUUGGAGGAGAGUCACACAAACGUUCAUACUGGUCUUU